AUCACUUCUCAGUCUUUUGAUUAAGAUCAGGUUUAGUAUCUGUUCUCACCAGUUUAUCAAAUCAGGUACCUCCUCUACCUGCAGACAAUAUAGUAAAUGCCCCUUUGGAGCAGGGACUUGGAAUAGAGCUUGCUCUGUCUACUCCGCACAUCUACCUGGUAUUGCAGUACUUCCAGGAACACUGCGUCCCCU
ensembl:snRNA U2 U2 spliceosomal RNA